rnacentral:rRNA from 1 species
GUAAAAGGGAUACCGGUAUGGGGUGAGUUCGCGUCCGAUUAGAUAGUUGGUGAGGUAACGGCCCACCAAGUCAACGAUCGGUAGCCGACCUGAGAGGGUGAUCGGCCACAUUGGAACUGAGAGACGGUCCAAACUCCUACGGGAGGCAGCAGUGGGGAAUAUUGGGCAAUGGGCGAAAGCCUGACCCAGCAACGCCGCGUGAGGGAAGAAGGUUUUCGGAUUGUAAACCUCUAUCGUAGAGGACGAAGAGAAUGACGGUACUCUACAAGGAAGCCCCGGCUAACUACGUGCCAGCAGCCGCGGUAAUACGUAGGGGGCAAGCGUUGUCCGGAAUGACUGGGCGUAAAGGGCGUGUAGGCGGCACUAUAAGUCUGGAGUGGAAGUCCGGUUUUCAAGGCCGGAAUUGCUUUGGAGACUGUAGAGCUUGAGUGCGGAAGAGGUAAGUAGAAUUCCCAGUGUAGCGGUGAAAUGCGUAGAGAUUGGGAAGAAUACCAGUGGCGAAGGCGACUUACUGGGCCGUAACUGACGCUGAGGCGCGAAAGCGUGGGGAGCGAACAGGAUUAGAUACCCUGGUAGUCCA